UGAUCAGACAGAGCCUUCCCCAUCACAGAGCACAGCUGGCCUGCCAUUGCUUUGUUUAAUGACUUGGAAGACAGUGGAGUGGGCAGUGCUGUAAAAACAGUAGGCUCCGCUGAUGGAAGAUGACAUGCAAGAGAUAAGGAAGAGGAGAGAAAGAAGGCUGAGGUAGUGAACACUGAGGAAGAGAGAAUGGCAGCCAGACUCCUGAGCUGUCAGAAACUUUGCUGCUUUUGG
rnacentral:lncRNA from 12 species